UGCACAUUCGCAAGCUUUCUGAACUCUGUUCACCUGGAUUAGACUCACUGCAGUGGGCUUUAUCACCAAGAAUGAUUUAUCCAGGAUCCCAGCUGUCCAACUGCUGAUUCAUGCUAGAAAUACAAUAUUGAUAAGCUCCAUGACAUUCUGACUGAUAGCAGACAUUUCAAAGGACUUUAAUAAGAAAAACAAAAUUCUUUGAGGAGCAAUUGGAAUUUAUCAUAAGGAAUUGAUUUAUAAGUCUACUAUCUUCAUUGGAGAAUAUUUCCUCUACAAGGGCAUGAAACAACGCUAUGCCUGCACCAUUCAUGAGAGCAAAUAUGUGUGCCUGCAGUCCUCCAAGUCAGUCUCCAUCUUUACAGUCCACAGUCUUGGGCUUUUAGGAGAAUUAUGGAAUGGUGAGCAGCAGAAAAAGAGCCUCUCCAAGAUUUGGUGUCCAGAUGCUGGAAUAAAAUACCGUGAGGAAGAAAAGAUCUGAAGAAAAAUUGAAGCCUAUGGAGAUCAAAGAGAGAGACCUCAGUGCAGAAGAAGGAGGUGGCAAGUGGUGCUUCUCUCUGAGCCCUGACUCUCUACAUGGGAAGGAUGGUUUGCAUCUGCAGAUGAAUAGUGACUGGACUGCAGUAGCUGAUUCUCACCGUGUGUUCCAUGCUGGCCUCAAACUUGUGAUCCUCCUACUUCAGCCUUCUGAGUUCUGGGAUUACAGGUAUAGGGCGCUGUGCCUGGCUGGCUGGCACUCUUGAAUACAACAAAGAUAUAGUAUCUAUUUGCAAUGUUUGGCCCACUAAUUCAAAAUCAUGCCAAAAAGUUGUGAAUAUGAUUUACUUCUAGCAGGUAACAUUAUACUCAUUUUAGCAAAACUAGACAGAGAUUACCAGCACACCAUACUAUGUUAUCAUGAUUGGUUCCAGAGCACAGUGCCUGCUCUCUGUUCCUUUUUUGAGAUGAGUAUCAUUUAGCUGACUUUAGUUUCUGUGUUCAUGUUAGCUGUACAAUUAAAGACAAGUGCUAACACUAGAAAAAUGUUAAGAAGACAAGAAGCAAAAUUGAAAGAAAAAAAAAAAACAAAAUAGCGAGAUAAGCAAUAUAUUUAUGUUUAUAAUUACAGUUUUGGAGAUUAUUCAGCACAACUAUCUUGGAGUAGAAGUAAUGAUGAAGGAGCAAAAAUAGCGUCUGAUUGACUUAAAAUGAUGUCUUUUCAUAAGCAUGUGGUAGAGCCCUGAACAAGAACAAUCAGCAGAGGAGAUACGAGGUAGGAAUAAGGAUGUGUUCUGCGCAAAAUGAGAGAGGUUGCCAGAAGUUUAUUUAUGGGGGACUCGGUGAUUUGACGGAAUUGCAACUACAUGAGAGCAGGGUAUAGGGAAGGACCUGAGCUUCUCGGCUUCUGGGAACACAACUGUUCUAAUGUGAUAGAAGCUCUAAAUCCCAAGAAGACUCACUUCCAAAUCCUGUCUCUAGUGUAAAUAAAAACAAAGACAAAGGCCAGCUAUGAAACAAAACCUUUGUGUCCAUGCACUACAAUAGCUUUUCUUUAGACAUGCAAAGCACUGGUUAUGCUAAUCAAAACAGAACCUCUCUGUUUCCCUCUCUUCUGAUUUUUUGUGGCCUUGUUUUGUUGGUGACAUAAGCCUGUGAACCAAGGAAGCUCAGGAGUGAACAAAAUGUCACUGAAGUCUCUAAGAGUGUACUUGGAUUUACACGCCUUUUUUUUCCAGUAUAGAAGACAGACCCAGGGCUUUUACAUAUUAGGCAAGGGCCCCACUACUGAGCUGCACCUCAGGCCCUCAGGAUAGCCUUGUAACUUUUUAUAGAAUGUUUGAACCUUCUGUAUAAAUUGUGACAGUGAUAAGUAAUAUCUGAGUUGUAUUUGCCGGUUUUUUUCUGCCAUGAAAUGUACAAAAAAGUUACCCUGGCAAUCAAUGCUUCCUUGGUAUAAACAGAAGACUGAGAGCCAAAGAAAGAAAAUGAUACAUUAGCCUAGUUGCCUGAACACACGAAUAGCGUAUCUUGUCCAGGAAAAAACAGACAUCACAAAUCCUGUUUCUCUGGAAAUGACAGAGCAUGGCUAUAUAAAUUCCAAUAAAAUGCCCCAAGUACAAUGAGUCUCAUCUUUGGAGAGAAGGGGACUAGAGAUUGAACACAGGAUCUUUGCACUGAGCCACACCCCAGCUUAUUUUAUUAUUUUAUUUUUGAGACAAAUUCUCCCUGAAUUGCUGAGUUACCCAGGUUAGGCUUGAAUUUUUUUUUUUUUUUUAAUAGAACAUUAUGGCGGUGGAGAGGCUUGAAUUUGAGACCUUACUGACUCAGGCUUACAGAAUGCUGGGAUUACAGAUGUAAUCCUACUUGGUCACCACACUCCACUUCAGUUUCAAUAUACAUAGGAUAAAGAGUACUUAAAUUUUUCCCUUAAACAUGUAUUUUUAAAAAUUUUUUUGGUUGGGCAACAACUAAUUGAUCACAGCCAGUUACAGAUUUCUUUGUUCCUUCUCCACUCCCACUGCUUCACUUGACUAGCCUUAAAAAAAAAAACUAGAGGCUGGGGAUUUAGCUCAGGGGCAUAAGCGCCUGCCUUGCAAGCAGGCAGUCGUGAGUUUGAUCCCUGGUACCGAUAAAAAGGAAAAAGGCAAAAAAAAAAAAAAAUUUUUUUUUUUGGUUGUUUUAAUUUGUUUUGAGACAGGAUGGCUUAUAUAAUCCAGGCUGGCCUCAAACUCACAGUGAUCGUCCUGCUUGGCCUCUUGAGUGCUGGUAUUAUAAGCAUAUGCCUCUGAUAUAGGAAUGAUAGGACUCUCUGACAUAUCAAGUUCAUAUUUCCCAGAAUCAAAGAAUGUAUUCCAAGGAACAGUGGAGGUUAAGAGUGGAAAAGAUUUAUUGAGAGAGACAACAUAAUUGAAGAUAUGGAUAACUGCAUGUAUGUUUAAAUGUAUAGGAUAGAUAACCGUAUUUCUAAGUUUUUGUUGGAUAGUUGCAGUCUCACUGUUUGAAUCCCCAUUUUAUAUGCUCCACUUUAGUAUCUUGAAUAACUAUUUGUAAAAGGAUAAUCUGUAGUCAUCAACUAAUGAUUUCUUACUAUUUAUUUUUUCUUCGAAAGUAUGUAUUAUUUCUACCCAUUUUCUAUUUUGUUUAGUCUUUCUUUAAAUAAAAUAAAAUUUUAAAAAAAGACACUACAGUACCCGGUGCUGAUCUCGGAGUGUCAUGAUGUGAAAUCCAGCAAUACUAUUAUUCUUUGUUCAGAAUGAUUUUAGCUUGCUUUAGUUUGUUUAAUCUCAACGUAAAUGAAGAUAUCGAUAACUGCAUGUAUGUUUAAGUGUAUAGGAUUGAUAACCAUAUUACUAAAUUCUUGUUGGAUAGUUGAACAGAACUGCAGUCUCGUGGUUUGAAUUCUCACUUUAUAUGUUCCACUUUUGUAUAUGAAUAACUAUUUAUAAGAGGACAGUAUGUAAACAUCACUAGUGAUUUUUUACUGUUUAUUUUUUCUUUGAACGUAUGUAUUAUUUCUACCCAUUUUCUGUUUUUAUUUUAUUUUAUUUUUUUUUUUUGUCUUUUUCCUUUUUACCGGUACCGGGGGAUCGAACUCAUGACUGCCUGCUUGCAACGCAGGCACUUAUGCCGCUGAGCUAAAUCCCCAGCCCCCCAUUUUCUGUUUUAUUUAGUCUUUUUUUAAAUAAAAUUUUU